CUACGGGAGGCAGCAGUGGGGAAUAUUGCACAAUGGGGGAAACCCUGAUGCAGCCAUGCCGCGUGUGUGAAGAAGGCCUUCGGGUUGUAAAGCACUUUCAGUAGGGAGGGAGGGUUGAUGUCUAAUACGCAUCAGCAUUGACGUUACCUACAGAAGAAGCACCGGCUAACUCCGUGCCAGCAGCCGCGGUAAUACGGAGGGUGCAAGCGUUAAUCGGAAUAACUGGGCGUAAAGCGCACGCAGGCGGUUGGAUAAGUCAGAUGUGAAAUCCCCGGGCUCAACCUGGGAACUGCAUUUGAAACUGUCUGACUAGAGUCUUGUAGAGGGGGGUAGAAUUCCAGGUGUAGCGGUGAAAUGCGUAGAGAUCUGGAGGAAUACCGGUGGCGAAGGCGGCCCCCUGGACAAAGACUGACGCUCAGGUGCGAAAGCGUGGGGAGCAAACAGGAUUAGAUACCCUUGUAC
rnacentral:rRNA from 1 species